rnacentral:rRNA from 1 species
AGAGUUUGAUCAUGGCUCAGAAUGAACGCUGGCGGCGUGCUUAAGACAUGCAAGUCGAGCGAGAAAGUCCUUCGGGAUGAGUACAGCGGCGGACGAGUGAGUAACACGUGGGAAUUUACCCUUCAGUGAAGAAUACCAUCGAGAAAUCGGUGUUAAUACUGCAUACGUUCCUUCGGGAAGAAAGGUGGCCUCUAGCUGCCGCUGAUGGAUAAGCCUGCGGACUAUUAGCUUGUUGGUGAGGUAAAGGCUCACCAAGGCGAUGAUGGUUAACCGGCCUGAGAGGGUGUACGGUCACGUUGGAACUGAGACACGGUCCAAACUCCUACGGGAGGCAGCAGUCAGGAAUAUUGCACAAUGGGGGAAACCCUGAUGCAGCGACGCCGCGUGAAGGAUGACGGUCUUCGGAUUGUAAACUUCUGUUAAGUGGGAAGAAAGAAUUACUUUUAAUAGAAGUAAGUGAUGACAGUACCACUAGAGAAAGCACCGGCUAACUUUGUGCCAGCAGCCGCGGUAAUACAAGGGGUGCUAGCGUUAUUCGGAUUCAUUGGGCGUAAAGGGUACGUAGACGGCGUGCUAAGUUAGUUGUUAAAUUUCUCGGCCUAACCGAGAGCAAGCAAUUAAUACUGGUAUGCUAGAGGGUGAGAGAGAGGAGUGGAAUUCUCGGAGUAGCGGUAAAAUGCGUAGAUAUCGAGAGGAACACCGAUGGCGAAGGCAGCUCCUUGGCUCAUUCCUGACGUUGAGGUACGAAAGCGUGGGUAGCAAACAGGAUUAGAUACCCUAGUAGUCC